GAUGAACGCUGGCGGCGUGCCUAAUACAUGCAAGUCGAGCGAACAGACGAGGAGCUUGCUCCUCUGACGUUAGCGGCGGACGGGUGAGUAACACGUGGAUAACCUACCUAUAAGACUGGGAUAACUUCGGGAAACCGGAGCUAAUCCCGGAUAAUAUAUUGAACCGCAUGGUUCAAUAGUGAAAGACGGUUUUGCUGUAACUUAUAGAUGGAUCCGCGCCGCAUUAGCUAGUUGGGAAGGUAACGGCUUACCAAGGCAACGAUGCGUAGCCGACCGGAGAGGGUGAUCGGCCACCCUGGAACUGAGACACGGUCCAGACUCCUACGGGAGGCAGCAGUAGGGAAUCUUCCGCAAUGGGCGAAAGCCUGACGGAGCAACGCCGCGUGAGUGAUGAAGGUCUUCGGAUCGUAAAACUCUGUUAUUAGGGAAGAACAAAUGUGUAAGUAACUAUGCACGUCUUGACGGUACCUAAUCAGAAAGCCACGGCUAACUACGUG
rnacentral:rRNA from 1 species